GCCACAGGGAAUUCACAUCUUAAGCAGAGGAGGACUCUGCUCUCUUCAGCUCCUGUGGUGACCUGGGAAUCUAUCUGUGAGGUGGAGGGCCUGUUAGCAAGACUCCAUAUCACUUUGCUGAGAGGUUUUUUUCCUUUUUUCCUUUUCACCCAGUAAAUUCCUCUCUAAUCACCCUUCAACAUGUCUGUGCACCCAAUCCUUCCUGGUCAUGUGACAAGAACUUGUUUUUUUCUACAUUUUUGGUGGCCUGUAUGGGGACAUGGGAAAAGUGUAGGGCAUGAGUUCCUGGCUGCCCCAUAAGGAAGGAAACUGCCAGAAGCCCUUUAGAAUGAAGAAAAGUGAGAAGAUUCUUGGAAAGUGGACUGAGCUUUUAACUCUGCAAGGGACCCUCAGCCCUCUUGGCAUACUGAAGUGAACACUCUGCAGCUAAGCACCACUGAAUCCAGCAGGACUUGAGACUUCAUCAUCUGCCAAAAAUGAGCUUUCCUAACAACAUGGGACCUAUUUGUCUAAAAAUAAACUGUCCUAGCCACAAGAGAUGAGACAAAACCCAAGACCACAGACUCAUUUUCUUCUAAAAUGCUCUGUCUGAAAGAUUUUAAGAAGAAAACGGGAGAGAAAUAUAAAAAGAAAAUAAAAACUUGGGACCCCAAUUCACUAUGCCAAAAGGGAAAAAAUUAAGCUGAAAGCUGAGUAAUGCAAGAAGCUGCCUUUCUUUUUGUUCCUAAGCAAAUAGCUACAGAUAAAAGGUUUAGUAUCUCCACAGGUAGCUACUCUAGGUUCACUUUAUCUUAUGUAAAGUGCUGAUUUGCAGAGCAUGAGAUGAAUACAUAGUUGACCCUUCCCCUAACCGCUCCUUUUCUCUUGCAAUAUGUGGAUUCAGUAAUGUGACCAUACCCUACCUCUUUCCCCUCCAGCCUGCUUUUCCCCAUUAAAUAUUGAAGCCCUCAAAAUAAUACUUGGAGAAAGGCAUAGACAUAUCACCCAGGUGGGUCCUUAACCUUUGCAAAAUAAACUUCUAAAUUGAUUGAGACCUGUCUCAGAUACUUUUUGGUUUACAAUAUAAUAUGAAAAGUAUUCUUUAAUCUGCAUGCAUGGAAAACUAUUCAUACUGGAAAAUAAAAUGUUACCUAACAUAUUUUAAUUAAAAAAAAAUUGCAACCACCUCAAAAUUGAAGAAGUAAAAACUCACAAACAAC
rnacentral:lncRNA from 1 species